rnacentral:rRNA from 1 species
CUUGGUCAUUUAGAGGAAGUAAAAGUCGUAACAAGGUUUCCGUAGGUGAACCUGCGGAAGGAUCAUUCAUAAUAAAGUGUUUUAUGGCACUUUUUUAAAAAAUCCAUAUCCACCUUGUGUGCAAUGUUUUUUAGAUCUAGCCAAAAUGAUAUUUUGGUUAGGUUUUAUUAUAUUACAUCAACUCUUAUUUAACUUGAUUUGUCUGAAAAAUAUUAUGAAUUUUUUAACUUAAUUCAAAAUACAACUUUCAACAACGGAUCUCUUGGCUCUCGCAUCGAUGAAGAACGCAGCGAAAUGCGAUACGUAAUGUGAAUUGCAGAAUUCAGUGAAUCAUCGAAUCUUUGAACGCAUAUUGCGCUCUCUGGUAUUCCGGAGAGCAUGCUUGUUUGAGCAUCAGUAAACACCCUCAGAGCUUUUUUUUUUUCCUUGAUUUUCGAAUCUUGGGGCUCUGGAUUUGAGUGAUCCCAACGUGGUCUUUUUCGAAAGGACAUGGCGGGCCACUUGAAAUACAGGUGCAGCUGAACUUUCUUCUGAGCUAAAAGCAUAUUUAUUUAGUCCUGUCAGCACAUGUGCUGCCGGAUUAUUACUUCUGCUGCAGCUUACAUAAAGGUUGACUGUUCAAAUGCUGACUGAUACAGAAUUUUUAGCACAGAAAGCGCAAGCGGAUCUGUGCUGUUAAACUCGAUCUCAAAUCAAGUAAGACUACCCGCUGAACUUAAGCAUAUCAAUAAGCGGAGGA